rnacentral:lncRNA from 1 species
ACUUAUUGAUCGUUGGUGAACCACUCCCUAUGAAUGGUACUGACGUUUCCUCUAACGAGACUAGAUUCGCAAUUGAUUAUAUGGACAUCAGUGGCAAAGUACGAUCAUGGUCAUUAGUUUUCACUGUUAUUGUAGGGGCCAUAGUGGUGAAGUAUGGCCAUGGUCAUUAGUUUCCUAUUUAAAUCAUCUAAUAUCAAAAUUGAUCUGUUUGUCCAUUCAUAGUGGUAGUUGGAGAUUCCUUCUACCCUCAGCUGAUAUA